CCUAUAUUCAACUAAUACUAAUAAGGAGGGAUGCUGGAAAAUGAUCUAUAAAGCAUUAAAUUGAAAGAUGACGCCAGUGUACAGAUAACACAGUAGCAGCUCAGCCUCCCCCUUCCUGUGGAUUGACCUUUGUAAAGUUUCUGGCAAAAGAAGUAUGAGAGGGAGAAGACUGGAGAGUCACAUUUCAUCCACUUACUGCAUGAAAAUAAGACCGGAUAGGAAUGAAGGCAGAUGUGAGGGAGUGACAAACAAGCAGAGCAAAGAAAUGUCCACAAACAGCUGGAAAAUUGUUAUGUGUCCUUUAUAAAGUAAAGUGUUAACAGAUUGAAGUUUUGGAAAAACAUUGUUAUGUCAAGUGUAUAUUCAAGUCAAAGUGGAAUCUGUUUGUUAAAUGGUACCAGAACGCCAAUACAGGAUGUGAGCUGAAAACCUCCCUUUCUCACACAUGAAAGGACAACUUUCCAUGAAAUUCACAAAAUACUGAAAUAUCAAGGCAUUUUAGAUGCAGGUCUGCGGUGAUCAGCCCAUUACAAGGAUGUCAUUAAGGCAAUAGAGUUCAGCUCGGAAUUCUCUUAUCGUCAAUUGUCAUGUGUGGUCCAAAAAAAAAUAAAAAACAACACAAAAGGGACUUAUGUCUGGUGUCAAGGCCCAUUCACACAGCACACUUUGCCGUGUUCAAGGACUCUGUAUACGGUGCCAAAAUGGAAUCCCUGAUGUCAUAUGUGUUUCAGACUCAAGGCAAAUCAUCUGCAACGUUUUCACCCCUUUUUUCAAGAUUGCUCUUUCUA